CCUACGGGUGGCAGCAGUGGGGAAUAUUGGACAAUGGGCGAAAGCCUGAUCCAGCCAUGCCGCGUGUGUGAAGAAGGCCUUCGGGUUGUAAAGCACUUUCAGUGGGGAAGAAAGCCUUGGGGCUAAUACCCUCGAGGAAGGACAUCACCCACAGAAGAAGCACCGGCUAACUCCGUGCCAGCAGCCGCGGUAAUACGGAGGGUGCGAGCGUUAAUCGGAAUUACUGGGCGUAAAGCGCGCGUAGGCGGUCUGAUAAGCCGGUUGUGAAAGCCCCGGGCUCAACCUGGGAACGGCAUCCGGAACUGUCAGGCUAGAGUUCAGGAGAGGAAGGUAGAAUUCCCGGUGUAGAGGUGAAAUGGGUAGAGAUCGGGAGGAAUACCAGUGGCGAAGGCGGCCUUCUGGACUGACACUGACGCUGAGGUGUGAAAGCGUGGGUAGCAAACAGGAUUAGAUACCCUAGUAGU
rnacentral:rRNA from 1 species